GAUGAACGCUGGCGGCGUGCCUAAUACAUGCCAGUCGAGCGAACGGACGAGAAGCUUGCUUCUCUGAUGUUAGCGGCGGACGGGUGAGUAACACGUGGAUAACCUACCUAUAAGACUGGGAUAACUUCAGGAAACCGGAGCUAAUACCGGAUAAUAUUUUGAACCGCAUGGUUCAAAAGUGAAAGACGGUCUUGCUGUCACUUAUAGAUGGAUCCGCGCUGCAUUAGCUAGUUGGUAAGGUAACGGCUUACCAAGGCAACGAUGCAUAGCCGACCUGGGAGGGUGAUCGGCCACACUGGAACUGAAACACGGUCCAGACUCCUACGGGAGGCAGCAGUAGGGAAUCUUCCGCAAUGGGCGAAAUCCUGACGGAGCAACGCCGCGUGAGUGAUGAAGGUCUUCGGAUCGUAAAACUCUGUUAUUAGGGAAGAACAUAUGUGUAAGUAACUGUGCACAUCUUGACGGUACCUAAUCAGAAAGCCACGGCUAACUACGUG
rnacentral:rRNA from 1 species